rnacentral:rRNA from 1 species
GACGAACGCUGGCGGCGUGCUUAACACAUGCCAGUCGAACGGAAAGGCCCUGCUUUUGUGGGGUGCUCGAGUGGCGAACGGGUGAGUAACACGUGAGUAACCUGCCCUUGACUUUGGGAUAACUUCAGGAAACUGGGGCUAAUACCGGAUAGGAGCUCCUGCUGCAUGGUGGGGGUUGGAAAGUUUCGGCGGUUGGGGAUGGACUCGCGGCUUAUCAGCUUGUUGGUGGGGUAGUGGCUUACAAAGGCUUUGACGGGUAGCCGGCCUGAGAGGGUGACCGGCCACAUUGGGACUGAGAUACGGCCCAGACUCCUACGGGAGGCAGCAGUGGGGAAUAUUGCACAAUGGGCGGAAGCCUGAUGCAGCAACGCCGCGUGCGGGAUGACGGCCUUCGGGUUGUAAACCGCUUUCGCCUGUGACGAAGCGUGAGUGACGGUAAUGGGUAAAGAAGCACCGGCUAACUACGUG